rnacentral:rRNA from 1 species
UAAGAAAAUCACUGAUCACUCAGCUUGUGCGUAGAUGAAGAACACAACUUAGUAGGACAAUGUGAACUGCAGGACACUGAUCAUCAGCAUUUUGAAUGCACUUGCAACACCUGGUUCCUUCUUGGCGACAGUUGUCUGAGCAUCA